rnacentral:rRNA from 1 species
GGCGGACGGGUGAGUAACGCGUAGGAAUGUAUCCUGAGGUGGGGGACAACCCUGGGAAACUGGGGCUAAUACCGCAUGUGAGCUGAGGCUCAAAGCCUUCGGGCGCCUUUGGAGUGGCCUGCGUUCGAUUAGCUUGUUGGUGGGGUAAUGGCUUACCAAGGCGACGAUCGAUAGCUGGUCUGAGAGGACGACCAGCCACACUGGGACUGAGACACGGCCCAGACUCCUACGGGAGGCAGCAGUGGGGAAUAUUGGACAAUGGGCGCAAGCCUGAUCCAGCAAUGCCGCGUGGGUGAAGAAGGUCUUCGGAUCGUAAAGCCCUUUCGACCAGGGACGAUGAUGACCGGUACCUGUCGAAGAAGCCCCGGCUAACUUCGUGCCAGCCGCCGCGG